GGCUUGUCCAAGUGCAGUGGUGUUUACAACUAAUUGAUCACAAGCAGUUGUAGAUGUAGUUCUUCUCCACUCCCACUGCUUCGCUUGACUACCCUUAA
ensembl:Y_RNA Y_RNA Y RNA